GUGCCUAAUACAUGCAAGUCGAGCGGACGGAUGGGAGCUUGCUCCCUGAAGUCAGCGGCGGACGGGUGAGUAACACGUGGGCAACCUGCCUGUAAGACUGGGAUAACUUCGGGAAACCGGAGCUAAUACCGGAUAAUGCAUUUCCCCUCAUGGGGAUAUGCUGAAAGAUGGUUUCGGCUAUCACUUACAGAUGGGCCCGCGGCGCAUUAGCUAGUUGGUGAGGUAACGGCUCACCAAGGCAACGAUGCNUAGCCGACCUGAGAGGGUGAUCGGCCACACUGGGACUGAAACACGGCCCAAACUCCUACGGGAGGCAGCAGUAGGGAAUCUUCCGCAAUGGACGAAAGUCUGACGGAGCAACGCCGCGUGAGUGAUGAAGGUUUUCGGAUCGUAAAACUUUGUUGUCAGGGAAAAACAAGUGCCGGANUAACUGCCGGCACCUUGACGGUACCUGACCAGAAAGCCACGGCUAACUACGUGCCAGCAGCCGCGGUAAUACGUAGGAUGCAAGCGUUGUCCGGAAUUAUUGGGCGUAAAGCGCGCGCAGGCGGUCUCUUAAGUCUGAUGUGAAAGCCCACGGCUCAACCGUGGAGGGUCAUUGGAAACUGGGGGACUUGAGUGCAGAAGAGGAAAGUGGAAUUUCC
rnacentral:rRNA from 1 species